rnacentral:tRNA from 1 species
GCUUCCUUAGUAUUAAUUAGUAUAGUUGACUUCCAAUCAACCGGCUCUGGCUACAACCCAGAAGGAAACA